rnacentral:rRNA from 1 species
GACAGAGGAUGCAAGCGUUAUCCGGAAUGAUUGGGCAUAAAGCGUCUGUAGGUGGCUUUUCAAGUCCGCCGUCAAAUCCCAGGGCUCAACCCUGGACAGGCGGUGGAAACUACCAAGCUGGAGUACGAUAGGGGCAGAGGGAAUUUCCGGUGGAGCGGUGAAAUGCAUUGAGAUCGGAAAGAACACCAACGGCGAAAGCACUCUGCUGGGUCGACAUUGACACUGAGAGACGAAAGCUAGGGGAGCAAAUGGG